UUAGGGUUUAAUCCUCUUCCUCAACAAUGUCCAAUUCCUCUGAUCAGCUCGAGGAAAUCAAAACCCUAAUUUCCUCUGGCUCAAAGUGCCUCGCUUACUCAACCCUCUUACACUUCCAAGAACACUCCAGUGACGACCCUACUUCAAUUCAAGCCCUAGCUGGAAUUUCUCAGACUCUUCUAUCUUUAAUCGUUGCCGAUAUCUCAGACGACGAUGAAGAAAUUGCUGCACUGGCUUUGAAGUGUUUGGGUUUCAUGAUUUAUCAUCCGUCCCUUGUUGCCAUAAUUGCAGUGGAUGAUGCCAAUUUGGUUAUAGAGUCUUUAGUUAGGUUCAUUACGACAACAAAAAUGAAGUCAGUUUGUAACUUAGGAGUGUGGUGCAUAUCCAUCCAACAGUUUAAUGCACCAUUUCUAGAUUCCCACCACAACUCUCUGUUGCAGGCGGUUGUCCAUGCACUUGACAACCCAAUUGGUUCUUUUAUCAACAACUUUUGAGCCUAUUCAGGCCUUGAUAAAGUUAGCAUCUAAUUUAAGCAAGAGAAUGAGAGACUCAUCACAUUUAUGGGCUCCUCCAAUAUAUAGAAGACUUCUCAGCUUUGACAAGAAGGAGAAGGAUAUGUCAGAAAGGUGUCUAUCAAAGAUUAAGCCUAUAAUAUUACCUCCUCCACUAGUUCUCUCCAAGGUUCUUGUCAAAGAUAUGAAGCAAAUUUUGCUCACUACGAUGAAGGAGCUGCUAAACCAGGGUAUGAAGGUCCAAGCCAUUCAUGCAUGGGGAUGGUUUAUUCGCUUACUAGGAUCUUAUGCUAUGAAGAACAGGAAAUUAACAAAUGAAAUGCUGAAAAUUCCUGAAAAUACAUUUUCAGAUCUCAACCCACAAGUUCAGAUUGCUUCACAGGUCUUAUUGAUUCUCUAAUUCAUCCUCCAAUAGUAGCUUGUGAGACAAAUGCAUCCAAGGAGGAGAAGGGUGUACAACAUUUGCAAAAAUCUAGAGAGACCAGUGAUAAAAUCCAAGCAA